GUGUUCAGCCAUGUUGUCACUGAUUUUAGAAUUGUGAAUUACAGUCCUUCAUUAAGAGUGGCAUCUCAGGGCUUCCCUGGUGGCGCAGUGGUUGAGAAUCCACCUGCCAAUGCAGGGGACACGGGUUCAAGCCCUGGCCUGGGAAGAUCCCACAUGGCUGGGGAGCAACUAAGCCCGUGCGCCACAACUACUGAGCCUGAGCUCUAGAGCCCACGAGCGACAACUACUGAAGCCCACGCACCUAGAGCCUGUGCUCCACAACAAGAGAAGCCACUGCAACGAGAAGCCCACGCACCACAACGAAGAGUAGCCCCCGUUCACCGCAACUAGAGAAAGCCCGCACGCAGCAACAGAGACCCAACGCAGCCAAAAAUGAUAAAUAAAUAAAAGAAAAGAAAAAAA